rnacentral:rRNA from 1 species
UACGUAGGGUGCAAGCGUUAAUCGGAAUUACUGGGCGUAAAGCGUGCGCAGGCGGUUGUGUAAGUCAGAUGUGAAAUCCCCGGGCUCAACCUGGGAAUUGCAUUUGAGACUGCACGGCUAGAGUGUGUCAGAGGGGGGUAGAAUUCCACGUGUAGCAGUGAAAUGCGUAGAGAUGUGGAGGAAUACCGAUGGCGAAGGCAGCCCCCUGGGUCAAGAUUGACGCUCAUGCACGAAAGCGUGGGGAGCAAACAGG